rnacentral:rRNA from 1 species
GACGAACGCUGGCGGCGUGCUUAACACAUGCAAGUCGAACGAUGAAGCCGGAGCUUGCUCUGGUGAAUUAGUGGCGAACGGGUGAGUAACACGAGAGUAACCUGCCCUUGACUCUGGGAUAACUGCGGGAAACUGUAGCUAAUACCGGAUACGACCCUCGGAGGCAUCUCCUGGGGGUGGAAAGAAUUUCGGUCAAGGAUGGACUCGCGGCCUAUCAGCUCGUUGGUGAGGUAAAGGCUCACCAAGGCGACGACGGGUAGCCGGCCUGAGAGGGUGACCGGCCACACUGGGACUGAGACACGGCCCAGACUCCUACGGGAGGCAGCAGUGGGGAAUAUUGCACAAUGGGCGCAAGCCUGAUGCAGCAACGCCGCGUGAGGGAUGACGGCCUUCGGGUUGUAAACCUCUUUUAGCAGGGAAGAAGCGAAAGUGACGGUACCUGCAGAAAAAGCACCGGCUAACUACGUGCCAGCCGCCGCGGUAA